rnacentral:rRNA from 1 species
GACGAACGCUGGCGGCGUGCCUAACACAUGCAAGUCGCACGGGACCGGGGGCAACUCCGGUUCAGUGGCAGACGGGUGCGUAACACGUGAGGAACCUGUCCAACGGCGGGGGAUAGCCGGCCUAACGGCCGGGUAAUACCGCAUACGAUCGUCCGGGGGCAUCCCUGGGCGAUGAAAGCAGCCGCAAGGUUGCGCCGGUGGAGGGCCUCGCGGCCUAUCAGCUAGUUGGCGGGGUAACGGCCCACCAAGGCGACGACGGGUAGCUGGUCUGAGAGGAUGGCCAGCCACAUUGGGACUGAGACACGGCCCAGACUCCUACGGGAGGCAGCAGUGGGGAAUAUUGCGCAAUGGCCGCAAGGCUGACGCAGCGACGCCGCGUGUGGGAUGACGGCCUUCGGGUUGUAACC